AGCUUUGCGCAGAGGUGAUAUCGUAACCAAUGAGGUUCUACCGAGGUGCGAAUAUUACUAAUUGAUAACUUUAACCAAAGUGUUUUCAUAAUAAAUUGAUCAAAAAAAAAAAAUUCGACUUUAUAAAUAUAA